rnacentral:misc_RNA from 1 species
UUGCACCCGCCUUCUAGUUUCCAGCCUAUGAAAGGUGACCCACCAUGUGCCUCUCGGCAGAUUUCAUCAGAGAAAGCUGAUGAGAUAGUUGGUACAGCAAUGCUGACUCAACCAGGAGGCACCAUUCAGGAACUUCAAAUUCAGCACCUUACUAGCCAUUAUGAUCACCAUCAUCAUCUUCUCCACAACAUGCAACCACAACAGCAAUGGCUGCCAUCUGACCAUGAUGAUUUGUCAUUGAAGAAAAUG